GGGGGUGACCCGGUUUCGACAGGGGAACUGAAGGUGAUGCUGCGUGUCGGGGAGCCGUUGGCCCCGUCAACAAACGGCAACGCCAUUAACUGGCAACCAGAACUACGCUCUCGCUGCUUAAGUGAGACAGUGACCGCCUAGCCCGGCCUUUGGCGAGGCGCGAACUGCAACAAAAGAAGGCUAGCCGACGCGAGGCUCCAUAGCAGCAGGCGAACCUGAGUGGAGAUAAGGCUGCAGGAAACCCGCCCGUUGGUGGCCUGCCGCCCGACAACCAAACAGCGGGAUACACACGUAGAUGCACGCUGGAAGAACCUUUGGACGGCGGUUCGACUCCGCCCACCUCCACCA
rnacentral:tmRNA from 1 species